rnacentral:rRNA from 1 species
AUUGAACGCUGGCGGCAGGCCUAACACAUGCAAGUCGAGCGGAUGAAGUGAGCUUGCUCCUGGAUUCAGCGGCGGACGGGUGUGUAAUGCCUAGGAAUCUGCCUGGUUGUGGUGGAUAACGUCCGGAAACGGGCGCUAAUACCGCAUACGUCCUGAGGGAGAUAGUGGGUGUUCUUCGGACCUUACGCUAUCAGAUGUACUUAGUUCGGAUUAGCUGGUCGGUGGGUUAAAGGCCUACCAAGGCGACGAUCCGUAACUGGUCGGGGAGGAGGAUCAGUGACACGGGAACUGAGAAAGGGUCCAGACUCUAACGGGAGGAGGAGGAGGGGAAUAUUGGACAAUGAGCGAAGGCCUGACCCAGCCAUGCGGCGUGGUGGAGAAAGGUCUUCGGAUGGAAAGGUACUUUGAGUUGGGAGGAAGGGCAGUAAGUUAAUACGUUGCUGUUUUGACGUUACCAACAGAAUAAGCACCGGCUAACUUCGUG